rnacentral:rRNA from 1 species
GACGAACCGAGCGAACGUUGUUCGGAAUCACUGGGCUUAAAGGGCGCGUAGGCGGGUGCUCAAGUCUGUGGUGAAAUCCUCCGGCUCAACCGGAGAACUGCCAUGGAUACUGGGUGCCUCGAGGGUGGUAGGGGUAUGCGGAACUAUCGGUGGAGCGGUGAAAUGCGUUGAUAUCGAUAGGAACUCCGGUGGCGAAGGCGGCAUACUGGACCACUUCUGACGUGAGGCGCGAAAGCCCAGGGGAGCAAACGGG